CGCAUCGCGCGCAUCCCGUUCAACAUGUUAUGAAGUUUUACAAAAAUUGAAAAUAUAAACAUUACACUCGUAUCCACCUGAGAUUAUUUUAGAGGCACAUUUUGGAUACUAGUAUACCUACUAUAAGGACUGGUCCAGGCAGUGCCUCUGCACUGGCUGGCAGGUACCUAUUCUGGAUGGGAGGUGAGACUGAGGUCGGACCUCAAGAGGCGACGGUUGCAACUCUCCUUCGUGUGUUUAGGGUUGUCUCUGAUCCUUGCAGCGGAGACGCCACUCAACGCUGAAAUAGUUCGCGACCUUCUAAGCGGAGAGGGGGCAACACUGUUACUCCUAACGGGCGCACUGCUAGAUGAAACAGUCUCGGGAGUGACGGUCGCUUGACUCGCAACGCUCGGUUCGCUCGCCACGCUCGGUUCGCUCGCAACGCUCAUAUUGUCCGCUUGCUCGUUCUCUAUGUUCUCCCCUCGCUCGUGGUCCCUCAGACGCGUGUGCCUCGUGUUGCCUGACGGUAACAGCCGCCGUAGCGACACACUCCCUCCCGCCACGUCUGAUAACAGUGUGCUUCGUGAUCCCGCUGCUGCCACACCAAAAU